rnacentral:rRNA from 1 species
CAGCCGCCGCGGUAAUACGGAGGGUGCAAGCGUUAAUCGGAAUUACUGGGCGUAAAGCGCACGCAGGCGGUUUGUUAAGUCAGAUGUGAAAUCCCCGAGCUUAACUUGGGAACUGCAUUUGAAACUGGCAAGCUAGAGUCUUGUAGAGGGGGGUAGAAUUCCAGGUGUAGCGGUGAAAUGCGUAGAGAUCUGGAGGAAUACCGGUGGCGAAGGCGGCCCCCUGGACAAAGACUGACGCUCAGGUGCGAAAGCGUGGGGAGCAAACAGGAUUAGAGACCCGAGUAGUCCCUGUCUCUUAUAC